rnacentral:rRNA from 1 species
AUUGAACGCUGGCGGCAGGCCUAACACAUGCAAGUCGAACGGUAACAGGAAGCAGCUUGCUGCUUUGCUGACGAGUGGCGGACGGGUGAGUAAUGUCUGGGAAACUGCCUGAUGGAGGGGGAUAACUACUGGAAACGGUAGCUAAUACCGCAUAACGUCGCAAGACCAAAGAGGGGGACCUUCGGGCCUCUUGCCAUCGGAUGUGCCCAGAUGGGAUUAGCUAGUAGGUGGGGUAACGGCUCACCUAGGCGACGAUCCCUAGCUGGUCUGAGAGGCUGACCAGCCACACUGGAACUGAGACACGGUCCAGACUCCUACGGGAGGCAGCAGUGGGGAAUAUUGCACGAUGGGCGCAAGCCUGAUGCAGCCAUGCCGCGUGUAUGAAGAAGGCCUUCGGGUUGUAGAGUACUUUCAGCGGGGAGGAAGGGAGUAAAGUUAAUACCUUUGCUCAUUGACGUUACCCGCAGAAGAAGCACCGGCUAACUCCGUG